rnacentral:rRNA from 1 species
GACGAACGCUGGCGGCGUGCUUAACACAUGCAAGUCGAACGGAAAGGCCCUGCUUGCAGGGUACUCGAGUGGCGAACGGGUGAGUAACACGUGGGUGAUCUGCCCUGCACUUCGGGAUAAGCUUGGGAAACUGGGUCUAAUACCGGAUAGGAGCCAUCUUUAGUGUGGUGGUUGGAAAGUUUUUUCGGUGUAGGAUGAGCUCGCGGCCUAUCAGCUUGUUGGUGGGGUAAUGGCCUACCAAGGCGGCGACGGGUAGCCGGCCUGAGAGGGUGUACGGCCACAUUGGGACUGAGAUACGGCCCAGACUCCUACGGGAGGCAGCAGUGGGGAAUAUUGCACAAUGGGCGCAAGCCUGAUGCAGCGACGCCGCGUGGGGGAUGAAGGCCUUCGGGUUGUAAACUCCUUUCGCUAGGGACGAAGCUUUUUUGUGACGGUACCUAGAUAAGAAGCACCGGCUAACUACGU